rnacentral:rRNA from 1 species
AGAGUUUGAUCCUGGCUCAGAACGAACGCUGGCGGCGUGCUUCAUACAUGCAAGUCGAACGAGAAAGUUCGGGGAAACCUGAAUAAGUACAGUGGCGAACGGGUGCGUAACACGUGAGAAACAUACCUCUAUGUUGGGGAUAAGCUUGCGAAAGCGGGUCUAAUACCGGAUGUGAUCACUGGGGGACAUCCCUUGGUGAUUAAAGGUGGUUGAGUCUAUGCCACCGCAUAGAGAUUGUCUCGCGGCCCAUUAGCUAGAUGGCGGGGUAACGGCCCACCAUGGCUCCGAUGGGUAGCCGACCUGAGAGGGUGUCCGGCCACACUGGGACUGAGAUACGGCCCAGACUCCUACGGGAGGCAGCAGUAGGGAAUAUUGGACAAUGGGCGAAAGCCUGAUCCAGCAACGCCGCGUGGAUGACGAAGCAUCUUGGUGUGUAAAAUCCUGUCAGUGGGGACGAAACGUAGAGGUAGGAAAUGACCUCUGCCUGACUGUACCCGCAGAGGAAGUUCCGGCCAACUCCGUGCCAGCAGCCGCGGUAAUACGGGGGGAACGAGCGUUGUUCGGAUUUACUGGGCGUAAAGGGCACGCAGGUGGGAAAGCAAGUCAGAUGUGAAACCCCGAAGCUUAACUUCGGGACUGCAUUUGAUACUGUUUUUCUUGAGUACGAGAGAGGAUGGCAGAAUUCUUGGUGUAGCGGUGAAAUGCGUAGAUAUCAAGAAGAAUACCGGUGGCGAAGGCGGCCAUCUGGCUCGAUACUGACGCUCAGGUGCGAAGGUCGGGGGAGCAAACAGGAUUAGAUACCCUGGUAGUCCCGACAGUAAACGAUGGGAACUAGGUGUUGGAGGUAUCGACCCCUCCAGUGCCGCAGCUAACGCAUUAAGUUCCCCGCCUGGGGAGUACGAUCGCAAGAUUGAAACUCAAAGGAAUUGACGG